GACUGGGUAGCUCAGUUGGUUAGAGCAUCAUCCCGAUACCCCAAGAUUGUGGGUUCAAUCCCCAGUCAGGUCA
rnacentral:tRNA from 1 species